rnacentral:rRNA from 1 species
CAGUCGCCGCGGUAAAACGUAGGUGGCGAGCGUUGUCCGGAUUUAUUGGGCGUAAAGGGAGUGUAGGCGGUCCUUUAAGUCUGAUGUGAAAGCCCACGGCUCAACCGUGGAGGGUCAUUGGAAACUGGGAGACUUGAGUGCAGAAGAGGAGAGCGGAAUUCCAUGUGUAGUGGUGAAAUGCGUAGAUAUAUGGAGGAACACCAGUGGCGAAGGCGGCUCUCUGGUCUGUAACUGACGCUGAGGCUCGAAAGCGUGGGGAGCAAACAGGAUUAGAUACCCGUGUAGUCCCUGUCUCUUAUAC